CAGCCGUAAACUAUGCGCGUUAGGUGUAUCGGUGACCACGAGUCACCGAGGUGCCGAAGGGAAACCGUGAAACGUGCCGCCUGGGAAGUACGGUCGCAAGGCUGAAACUUAAAGGAAUUGACGGGGAGCACCACAACGGGUGGAGCCUGCGGUUUAAUUGGACUCAACGCCGGGAAGCUCACCGGAUAAGACAGCGGAAUGAUUGCCGGGCUGAAGACUCUGCAUGACUAGCUGAGAGGAGGUGCAUGGCGUCAGUGACU
rnacentral:rRNA from 1 species